GGUGAGUAACACGUGGAUAACCUACCUAUAAGACUGGGAUAACUUCGGGAAACCGGAGCUAAUACCGGAUAAUAUAUUGAACCGCAUGGUUCAAUAGUGAAAGACGGUUUUGCUGUCACUUAUAGAUGGAUCCGCGCCGCAUUAGCUAGUUGGUAAGGUAACGGCUUACCAAGGCAACGAUGCAUAGCCGACCUGAGAGGGUGAUCGGCCACACUGGAACUGAGACACGGUCCAG
rnacentral:rRNA from 1 species